rnacentral:rRNA from 1 species
UGGUGGAGUGAUUUGUCUGGUUAAUUCCGAUAACGAACGAGACCUCAACUUAUUAACUAGUGGCGUCAAUCUUCUAUACGGGUGAAGCUAGGUUCCGGUCCCGGUACGCCUUAACGGGUGGCACUGGGCCGACCUAGUGGAUCCUUGAUGCUUUGACGCUUUAUCUACAACUUCUUAAAGGGACAAUUCAUGUUUAAUGGAUGGAAGUGAGGCAAUAACA